CCCUGCCCUGCCAGUCCUAGGGCAUUGGCCUCAUGAUUGCUGUUCCUGUGCACUGAACUCAGGGCCUCCGUCUCCAUAAGUUGAUCGUUAUUCCUAAAUAAUUUCAAAUUGGUCUCCCAUUAACUCCAUGAUUUGAGUUUAGCAACUCCUACCUUUGGUGGAUUCCUCUGGCAUCUUCACAAAGACAGAGGGUCGUCUUAGCUCUGCCUUACCCCAAGCUGUGCUGCCACCAUGGAUAAAUAGCCUGUAGUCUUCCUCUUCUUCAGCACUUUACCUACAGCAGUGCUUGUGCCUGGAGCAGAGCUCUGUUCUAGCCACAGAUUACUCACACCUGCUUCAGGUCAUUUUGCUUUUAAAUAUCCUUCAUGGUGAGAUGCUAAAGUUUCGUAAUGAAGGUUUUAAAUAGCUUCUUCCUGGUUGUAAAAGUUCAUUCCAGGAAACAAUAUUGGAACUGGGAACUGGUGGGGCUGUGAAGGCUGUAGCCCUUGCUCUAGGCAUUUCCCCUUCUCAGAGCUGGAGAUGACUCACUACCCCAGCAUUUGCCUGUUUCACUGAUGAGGCUUUACCUCCCUUUCAAUUUGAGGUGUGCUUAGGGAAAGCAAGCCGAGGUGCUGCGCAUAACAACUCCAGACUGUGGCUAAGUGAUCGUGUGAUGGAGCCAUCAGUCCAGGACUCUCUCAUGGUCCAGCUCCGACAUUUACAAAACGUCUGACUAUGAGUUGCUCACCUUCUGAACUCAGCCAUCAUGCUGUAAGAAACCCGAGCCGUAUGCAGAAGUGUGGUGGAGGUGACCUGGUUGACAGUGCGAGCUGACCUCUGAUCUUCCAGUCUCCUAGCCAUCACUGAGUGAUACACACCACCUUCCUUGGAUAAAAGUAAUUUUCAACCCUGGCUUGGGACCAUGGAUCAGGCAAAAUGAAAGAAACAAUUUUUUGAGCAACGAAAAAUGGAUUCUAUCAUCACGAUCAUCAUCAUGGACAUAACAGUGGAGGAAGACAGAGUACGCUGAAAGAAACAGAUUCAACAGAGCUUCCAAACUUGUGCACAGUGUAAUAUUAAAUUUGCAUUUCCUUCCUUUCCUUCCAAUCUAUCUAAAUUUGUUAUUUUGCAUAUAGGAGAUAUUCAGUGCUUUUUUUUUUUUUUUUUUUGCUGAGGAAGAUGCACCUGAGCUAACAUCCAUUGCCAAUCUUCCUUUCUUUCUAUGUGAGCUCCAACCACACCAUGGACACUGAUGAAGUGGUAUAGGUCUGUGCCCAGGAACUGAACCUGGGCCAUGGAAGCAGAGCAUGCCAAACUUAACCUCUAGGUCAUGGGGCUGGCCCACAGUGCACUUUUUUAAAGAAAAUGAAGCUGUCCCUUGGUUUCAUCUUAUAUAAAAGGUCAGAACUGAAUUAGAAUAUUUCUAAGCUCUCUGUGAAACAGCUUCAUUUGUUAGAAAAAAUUAUAACGUUUGGAAGCAACAGACCUACAUUUGAAUCCUAGUUCUGAAGUGUACAGGUCAUGUUAUCUAUUUUCUCUGGGCCGCUGUGACUUCAUCUGUAAAUGAAUCUGCAUUAUAUUGAUCUAAAUUGAAGGACUGUUGGGCAGCAAAACCUGACAUAGAGUAAGCACCCAACAAAAGGUACUAGGACAACUACUUAUAAAUAUGAAAAAAAGAAAGGCUCUUCACACAGAAGAUACUGUGCUUUGCUUUUUUUUCCCUUUAAUGUGUACUAUUUACAGACCUACCAGAAACUAUUUAAAAAUUUUAAUAUGAGCUGCUAUGUUAGUGCAUGCAUUUUGGCCACCAUAUGCAAUAUUGUUUCCGUUUUUAUUUUCCCACCAAUAUAUUGCCUAUGAUGUUAGCAUAUUUUUUUGUUUUGUUUUAGUGGUCAUGGUAUAAUGAACAAAUGCAUUAAAUAAAUAAUAAAAACAAAUGCAAUAAAGCUUGGUACAUCGUAAGUGAUCAGUUAGUGUUAGUUAUUAUGAUCGUAUUCACAUCUACAUGAUUCAUUUAUAAGGCAUGAUAUUAAGAUAGCAACCAAAUCCAGAACUUGAAAUUACAAAACAAGCAAGGAAUAUUAAAUGCAGUGUUCAUUUAUCUCUGUUUCAUAGAGCAAUCAAAACACACUUUAUUUUCUAGGAUUAUAUUUAAAUAAGUUAUUGACAUUUUAUUUUUGAGGUGAAUCUUUCGUAUAUAGGACAUUGAGAACAUGAAACAGUAAUGUUAUUAGAAAAACAGUUAAGAGUUACCAUCAGGAGUUUCACAGAAGAGUUUAUUCUAAUCAUUAAAUAACAAUUGUUUGAUCUACUUUGUGUUUACUUACGAUAUCUUUAAAAUGAAAUUGUUCUUUUUAAUGUCUCAAAAAUAAACAUACAUAU
rnacentral:lncRNA from 1 species